GACGGAAGGUGCAAGCGUUGCUCGGAAUCACUGGGCGUAAAGGGUGCGUAGGCGGCCUGGUAAGUCUGGCGUGAAAGCCCAGGGCUCAGCCCUGGAAGUGCGCUAGAAACUGCGAGGCUCGAGUGCCGGAGGGGAGAGUGGAAUUCCAGGUGUAGCGGUGAAAUGCGUAGAUAUCUGGAGGAACACCGGUGGCGAAGGCGGCAUCCUGGACCGGCAUUGACGCUGAGGAGCGAAAGCCAGGGGAGCAAACGGG
rnacentral:rRNA from 1 species